UAUUGCAUACUGCUGCAGCACGCAAUCAGCCUAUUGGCAUUUAAUAGCAUUUGUCUUUUCUAACUCUUUUCUGCCGAUAACGCUGCUCGCACAGUACAUCAAGAAGCGCACAGGGUUCCAAUUCCGCUUUCGAAGACAGACGCGGCACAGCAGCUUCGACACCCGGCACGCAGUCUCUCACUGCCCGAGUGGAACUCGCCCACCUUAAGACUUACACGACUGCAUCGAUUAAACCCCUCUCUGCAACCACGACCUCCACUCGGACUUCCUGGACGUCAAGCUACGCUUCUCUGUCGCUUUUCGUUAGGAGUUGCCUUCACAAAGACAUACUCUACAUUAAUUGGAGUGACUGACAGUGCAGCAUGCGAGGUCUGCGGCCCCGAAGAAAAUAUCGACCACCUGCAGUGCCACUGUCCACGAUAUGCUCCAGAAAGAUAAGAACUUGCCAAAGCUCUCCAAAAACGGCACAAUCGGUCACUUUCUGUGCAGGCGCUGCUGCAACACCGCCCCCAUCCCUCGUCGGGCCCAUAAAGCAGUGAAGGCGCUUUUGUGCUUCUUAAGGACGACGGGCUUGAGCGACUACCUGUAAAUAUUAAUGCAAUUUCUAUAAGACCACACGCAUCAGCGAACUCACCGGAAUUUUCUUCUUUCCUUCCCUCCUCUCUGUCCCUAUCAUCUUUGUUUUCCCCUUUCCCAUUCCCCCCGUGUAGGGUAGCCAACUGGACGUUAUUCUGGCUAACCUUCCUGCCUUCUGCUUUUCUCUUUCCCUCCUCCUCUAACUCUUUUCUGCUUGCGUUAGCGACUCGAGUAAGUAGAUUCGACGGAGAAGACAACAUAUUUCCACUCUGCCACCCUGCAGAUGCGGUGACAAACCCCGAACACUCAGGCAGCAAAUCUUGGCAGUCUAAAGGUACGGACACACUGGCGUCAAAACGCGCGCGGUACGCCGCCGGCGGCGCGCCGCGUGCCGCAAAACCUGCCGCGGAAGCGGUUUGGUCUGCCGCGCAGAGGAUGGGUCGAGGAGCCAUUUUCGGCGGCUUUCCGCGUGCCGCGAACCAAUGAGGGACGUCCGGGCUUUCUCCUAGGCGCCACCUCUUGUCUACUGCCGAAGUUAACUUCCAGCGGUGGCGGCGGAACCACGAUCGACGACCGAGCGCUCCGAGCCAGCCGCGACAAACAGCGCUAGUGCUUUAUGUGCAUCCACGUGCUCGUGUGCAUCCACGUUGAAAAAUGAAUUCCAGCCGACAGAACAUCAUGGAACAAUUUCUGGAGACUGUUCGCUUGCUCCCCUUUCUAUAUGAUAAAACUCACCCGGAGUACAAAGAUAAGGACGUCAAAAUGAACCGGUGGGCGAUCAUCGGCAGAACAUUCGAUCUGACUGGACCGCAAGCAGCCGCAAAAUUUAAAAAUGUGAAGGAUCGUUGGCUCAAAAUUGUGUCGGCGUCGGAGGGGGCCCGGAAAAGUGGCGCCGGAGGAGAGGCCGGAAAGGUCCACACGAAGUGGAUACUUUUCGACAUCGUGGAUGGCAUGCUGAGGCACACACCACAUUAUGCGGAAAGGUCUUCAUCAAAUGUGCCCCCAGAAGAGGACGUCUCCAUUCUGCCAUCUCCACUGUCAUCCAACAGCCCUUCCAGUCCGAGACUGGUGGCCAGCUGUAUAUCAAGCCCGGCUGCUACGCUUUUUCAAGAAAUGUACUCUGACAGCCCCAAUGACUUUACUGAUGAAGACGAUUUGAGGCUCCCCAGCACAUCAGAAAGUGCGGCAUCUGCUACUGGCUCUUCAGGGUUGUCAACUUCACAACCAGGAGCCGCUGCCCCAGAUCCAGGGUCCGCCAAAAGGCGAGCAUCCAAUGGACCUUUCUCUCGGUACUGGCAUGGCUCACAUUUCCUGCAGUAUUUGAAUGAUAAUCAGUGAUUGCAAGGAAACGUUGCGCUGAUAUAUUUAUAUGCAGGACCAAAAGAAGGUAGUCUGACAGCUUCGACGAAGCGAUGAAAGAUGUCUUGCGCAGCUGCUCAUCUACGCUGUUAGAACUAAAAAAAAGGAAAUGCCUGCACCGACAGAUGACAUUCAGGAGGCAGCAAACUGGAUAGCUGCUAAGCUGAGGAUGCUACCACACAAAAAAAGAUGCGAGUUCUUCAAACCAAACGAGAGAAUAUGGACAUUAUAUUCGAAUACUACAAAGAACAUCACCUGCGUAAACGACAGAACGACUCGUAACACCGAGAGAGAAGUUACAAUAAACAGGACAUUUGUAAUGGAUGGCAACAAGACAUCAGUCACUUUUCAAGGCCAAUUUCUAUUCUCCUACCCAAGCAUUAUUUUCAACACUAUGCAAGUUCACUUACCAGCUAUACCAGGUCCAUCAAGCCUUCCAGGAUUUCCAUUUUUCCCAAUCUCUGGCCGAAGUUUGGUAUCUCCUCGACUUUAUUUGCCUGCUCCAGGGACCCUGUUGAAUAUUACGUUUGAACUUCGUGCAAAGGAUUCCCUCAUCGAUCUCCUUGUUGACCGCAACAAGACCGACUGCAUUGCACAGUUUGAGCAGUAUAAAAGUGAACUGACGAAAACAAUUUAUGAAAAAGAAUGUCGCACAUAUUGAUAAAUAAAAGAAAAAUUGACAGAUUUUCUGGAGGGGCAACAAGAGGUAACUGGAAAGCAUCAACAGAGUUACAUUAUCUACAAAUAAAGAAACUGUGUA